AACGUAGGAGGCGAGCGUUAUCCGGAGUUACUGGGCGUAAAGCGCGUGCAGGCGGUCUUGCGCGUCUGAUGUGAAAGCUCCCGGCUAAACUGGGAGAGGGCGUCGGAUACGGCAGGACUAGAGGCCAGUAGAGGGGUAUGGAAUUCCGGGUGUAGUGGUGAAAUGCGUAGAGAUCCGGAGGAACACCAGAGGCGCAGGCGAUACCCUGGGCUGGAACUGACGCUGAGACGCGAAGGCAUGGGGAGCGAACGGG
rnacentral:rRNA from 1 species